UGCCCGUGCGUGCGCGUUUCAGAUUCAUGAUGCAGCGAGCAGCUACACGUUUCGAAACUGGAACAGCUGAGCAGCGACCCCAUCACUAUUAAUGAGCUCUAUCUCUAGGCAUUAGCCGGCUCAGCACUUUACACUUUAUGCCUCGUGUUCGUAUGGAGUGUGUGAGUGUGUGACAAUAACACACUGGCACCAGAUACAGCCAUGAUCAUGAUUCGAGCUCGAGCUCGGUGGAUCCUCUAGAGAUAGAGAUUCGCGCAGGAUCAGUACUUAGUUGAGGUAAUGCGUCACGGGAGGGAGUCGACACCUCCCACAUCUAGAGGUCAUCCAGCCACAAGGGGACUGAGAGGGUAUCUAAUCCAUGUUUGCUAUGGCAGCAACCGCGAAUCAGUGUCAGUGGGGCCCCAGCGAGGCAGCGACGCCGCGGUGUUGAUGAAGGUAUCGGACAUUAAACUCGUUACACCAAGAAUUUCACAGCCUGAGAAUAAGCCUAGAUCAACAGUAUGCCAGAAGUCUCGGUAAUUGAGUAGGAGGCAAGCGUUAUCCGGAGAUUAAUCCACAAAGCGCUCGUAGGCGGCAAUGAUUGUCGCCAACGCUCGCUCCGGCUCAUUAGCAGUCAUGGGGGCAAGUAGUGAUCAGGAGAGUAUUGUUCGGGGUAUGGCAACACGAUGGGUAACUCUCAAUUGAGCUUUUGUCCCAUGGAACAGAGGUGGACAACCCAGAGACCGUCUUCCCUCCCGCGGUGGAGGUGCGACACGCAGGGGAGCGAAAGCAGGAUUCCCCCCCUGUGCCUCCCGUAGGAGUCGAGGGAUUGUAUCAGUCCCAGCUCAAAGGAUCAUCCUAUCCCACCAGUUACCCAUGGGGACUUGUAAAGGCCUUCGUUAAGCCAACAAGCUGAUGAGUCGGGA
rnacentral:rRNA from 1 species